AUGGUAUUUGCACUCAUUAAAGCCCCAGGUCCCAGAGCCCUGAGCUUUUUAAAAACUAAGGUGUUAUGUAUGCUGAGAAAAAGCUUGAGAAUUUGUCUAGUAGAAGAUAAAACCCCAAAAACUGAAAGGUCCAGCAGCAACAGUAUUUUGAAAUAAUGCAGCACUUCAGACAUUUCUUGACCAAUUGGAAAGGAAAGACACCAUUCAGUUCACUGGGGUGAGCUGCUUUUGUUACUCCCUGACAAAUUAAGUAAGAAGAUUACAAAAAGUAGGAAAAAAAUAAUAGUAGGUGGAUCCAAAAUAAACAGAUGCAAAUAAUUGUUUUUAUUAACUGUUGCAAGAGGCACCCAGACCUUUCUCCAGCUCACAGAAGCACCAGCAGCUUUGGAAACAUCAGCCUCCUCUGCCAACAUCUAAUUCCAAUUAAAUGCAAUACUCACUUUCCUGGAAACAAGCCUGUUUUUCAAACCAAAGAAGCUGGAGGCAAAGUCUGAAACAAAACUGUCCCAAACAUGUUUCAAAGUAUUUAAUUACACUUCUCAAAAGCUAUUAAAAAGAUUCUAUGAAGCACUAUCUAAAGAAAUGAGAUGCAAAAUUGUUUAUCAUGUUCCUCAAAUUUUGUUAUUGUUACUGACAAGCUCUGUAAAUUUACUAAAUGGAUGCAGAGAGAAGUAAAACACAUUUUAUGGCCAGAACAGGUACCUUACCCCUCUUGACCUGCUGGCCAAUACAGAUCUCUUCUGACCUUUGCACUGACUACUGUGAUGUGUGUUUGACUAUUUGUUCAUUUCCCAGAAUGGCAGGCAGGGCUUGAGGACAACAGCAGAUAGAGAACCUGCCACCAUCUGCAGUAAUUACUUCCAGUUUAUUAAAAAACAAAACAAAACAAACAAAAAAAACCCACCGAAUUUUAAUAUGUCUAAGUUUAAUUUCCAGAGUACAGAGAAAAUCUGAACUGUCAUAAAAGAACUUGUACAAGUUAUCCCAAAAGAGAAAAAGUGAAAAAUAAGGCCUUUAACAUUCCUGCUUCCUUCUACCCCAGUAACAAUGCAACAGAUGGAUUUGAAAAAAGAGGUUAAGAAGUGAGGGUAAUAAUUCCAAGUCUGGCUCACAUAUAUCUCAGAAGUUUCUUAGUGUCAAUGCAAAGUGUUCAAAGAACAGAUUUGUUAAAACCAAAUGGGCAUUAAAAAGGUCAAGAAAUAAUUUAACAUUUCUUCUGUUAAAAGAUAUGUAAAAGGUAUGAGAUCAAAAUAAAAGGAAAUUACUCUUAUCUAGGCAACAUACAGAAUUCAAACCUGAAAGGACUGAAAUAGUCUCAGUAAGGUCCAGCUUCCAGUGCAGUAAGUGAAUUUCAAUUGUUUUGACUGUAGCUUUCCCUUUUGGACCAACUAAAUACAUCUUUAAUAAUACCUAAAGUCUGUCAAAACAUCCACCAGUACCCCAAGAAGGAGUGUAUGCUGCUCACAGUCCUGUACUGGACAUGCCCUGUGCUAUUCUGUUUCUUCAGUCAAGUGGCUCCAGAAACAAAGCCAAAUAAAGGCUGGGGAAGUGCAGUAGCUUCCAUGAGAUCAACUAGCAUGAAAUGGAAGCAAACAUGGAAUUUUUAGCAUUUUGGCUCUGAAAAGGCAAGAAAGGUGCUGGUGUGCCCAGAAGCCUCUCUGUUUAUUUUUGUGUUUAGCUGUAUCAGUCUGAGAUUGUGCCAUUAAAGACAGUAUUGACACACCAGAAGACGCCAACAGUGGUGCGACCUCUUUGCUGUAAGGUUGAUUUUGUAACCUAGCACUGUUCCCCGCGCUGUUCUGUGCAUGGGUGACGCACACAGAGCAGCCUCCUGUGAGGUCUGCUUGUGCUUUACCAGUACUGAGAGUAUCCUCACAUUUGUGGGUUCUCUGUAAUGUUCAUGCAGGGACAGCUCACUGCAGUGAAUUGUGGGACGGAACACAUCCAUCAUACAUCAUAGGAAGUUACUUGACCUGAGGAAGCAGACCUGAGGAACCCAAGGAAAAUCUACUUGGGAGCUGCUUAAACAGGCCCAGUGUUGCACCAGAGACAAACAUUUUCUUUCCUUUUCAGGCUCUCAGUGCUCCCUUCAAUAUUAUUAUUACUGUGAAUAUUUGUAAACAAAACUGCAUUUUGAACUGUCCUGGGACAAACCCCAAGAUCAGGGACCAGCAAAUCUGGCUCAGCUCUUUGCCCUACAACAGCAAUGGAAACUGCACUGGGGUAUGCCCUGGAUAGCUUAAAGGACACUUCACCACUCUGAUACUGAGAGCCUGAAGCAACCCCGAGGCCACAGAGCCUAUAAAUGUUUCUGAGGGUUCAGGGUCUCCUGCUGUUGUAGAAAGCAGUGUCCUUGUCCCUAGCCUAAGAUGCAAUGAAGGCUUGUGAAAGUCUCUCUUCUGAUGAUAUGGCAGUCUGACCUCCCAUGUGGCCUUUCUCUACUUAGUGUUGGGAUAUCAUCAGGGUCUAGAAGUUUAUUAAUUACUUCUGGGGACAGAGCUGCUAUUUUAAGUGCCUUUGUUCCCUCUUCCAGAGGCACAGGAAAGCUAAGCUCUGAACAUCUUAAUCGUUCAUUGUAGGCUCUUCCCUCUGCCAGAGCAGGUCUGCUGUGGGAUCUCUUUGGGCAAGCCAGGAGUAUUUCUCAGCUGAUGACCUCUCAGAUAUUGGGGUGGAGGGGCAGAGCUCCAGGAGUUGCCAUCAGAGGUGCUGGAGACUGAGGCCAUCCUCGGAUGAGGUUUGUCACUCACCUGCUAUCUUGGUUGGGUGAUGUCAUCCUUAGUGAAGGUUGGUGUGCUGGCAGUGCCUGCUCAGGACAUUUCACUGAAGUAACCCCUUGUUCCUCACAUGUCAGAGAGUGUGAGGGUGCAUCAAAGAGCCAUUUGCCUGGCACCACUCUUAUCUGAGGGUCACUGUUCUCAGGUUUCUGUGCUCAGCCAAAGAUUUGGCAACUCCCUAGUGUUUGUAGCCAAACAGAAAAUCUGGCACUUUUGUUAGUGUGACCAUGUCCCUGCAGUGGUUGACAGAAACUGGUCUGAGGGAAAAUGAGCGUUUGAUCUUCAAACAGUGUCCAUUGGGACCCCUACUAGAUCUCAACAGCUAUCAUAUCUCUGAUAUCUGAAAAGGUAUUGAGCUGAAAGGCUACCAGUGGCUAUACCCCUUUCAUCACUAGGCAAAUAAACAGUUUGCAAAUCUUUUCAUAAUUUAUUGAUGUGAAUUUUUUGUAAAGGCUUUUGGGCCUGCAAUUGACUUUUUCCUUCAUUUGAGAAAAGAUCUUAAUCAAGAUUGCAGAAUCAAAUAGGACGUGGAUGGUUCAGACCCAACUGCUCUGCCAAGCCUCUGGCCAUACAGGAUAGGUGCAGUUAUUCCUUUAAUGGGUGCAGCAGGAUCACAGGCUGCAGCAGGGGUUUGUUGCAUAGAGCUAGGUGCAGUGGGGAUUAGUAGUUCUUGUGAAGAAGGAACAGCAAGAUAUGGAGGAUAUGGAAGAAGUUGCUCAGCUGAUCAGUGGCAGAGUGUGAAUGAGCUCCAGUUCAUGUUUUAUGCAUCAGGCGAAAAAAAGCAGAUUUUUAAAAUUCUCAUUAGACUUUUACAGGGGUAAAGGGGAGUUGGAAAUUUCUGCCCUAUUGAUGGAGAAGCUGAUAUGCUCACCAUGUUGCAUACAGAGCCAGGCCAGACACAUUUCUCUGAGGCGAAGGAAUUGAUGUAACUGGGGUUUCACUUGAGUAGAGGUAUAAAUUAUCUCAUACAGGUUCCCUUGCUUUGUAAUUAAUUUAAGUCCUAAAGUGAUGGGAUUUAAUCUUAGUGUUCUUGCUGGCUCCCCUCUGGCAUUUCUGGCAAUAUAGCCUUGGAGAACUCUCACUUGAUACCCUAAGGCUUUCUAAAUGCCACAAGAGGUGACAUCUGUUUAGGUUGCUGGCAGCAGCAGUGGGGAAGCUUUAGAGGGCACUGGAACCAUGCCAUCGGCUGCCUUACUUGCUGGUGCACGGGAAGAGGUAAAGGCAUGUUGCAUUCUGAAGCUGGGAGGCUUCUGCUAGAAGUGUGGGGAUUUGACAAUGUUUUGGCACUGGUAGAGAGGAUUAGAAAUCAGUUCCUGUAGCUCUACAGGUGCUUACACCCCAAAGGCUUUCCUUAAAGUCUGAGGCAGAAGUGGAAGAAGCAAAGCUAAGCAAAGUUUUCAGGACUGUCUCAGCAGGAUUGAUAUCACCCAUUUCACACAGAUGAAAGAGAUUAGAGGAAAAAGGAAAGCAAGAAUUGAGAACAUUGAGUGAGUAAAAAUUCAUGACUAAUAUAAUUAAAGCAUAGCUGAGCCAGCUCAUUGUCCCAGUUCUUCGAUCACACACUAUUUGGCUUCUUUCACUUGAGCACAAAUCCAACAGCUGUAGGCAGUGUGUAGGCUCAGGAGGUCCCACAGCCUGGGGGGUCUUCUUUUGCCCUCAAAAUGAGGUGCUGGGCACAAAAGCAAACAUUUCAUUAUCUGCCCAUGCAGGCAGGUGACAGUGGGAAGUCAGCUGCUGAUUGCAAAUGUUUGCUGACCACAGCUUGCCAGCUCCAGCUGCCAGCACCCAGAAAGCUCUCAAAGCCAGAACCUCAUCAGUGAUAACAAUGGUGGGAGAGGGGAAACACUGGAAAAACUCUGUUGUAUGUCUUAAUAAAUCAUAAUGCUGCUGAUAUUAGUGUGCUGGUACUGAAGGAGUUACUGGAGGCAAUAAGUUCAUCAAGCAGGAAGUUUUGCUUGAAUGGGCAUGAGCUAGGACUGUGCUUGUGCACACUUGAACAUCAGGUGUGCAUGAGGGAUUUCAGUGAUCGGGCUGAAGCAGCACCAGAAUAUCCGGAAGGACAUUUCAUCUGUCAAAGCUUUUGUUUCUUUAGUUUAAUCACUCUCAUCAUGUUUUGGACAGAGGGUUUUGAAAAUAUAACCUAGUGGCAAGAGACUGCAUUUGAUUCUCAUCUUUGCCAUGAAUGCUCUGGGCUGCCUCUUGCAAGGCAGCUCUGUGCCUGUAUUUGUAGAUGGGGAUUUUGCCUCUUGGGUUAUAGACUCUCUCUGGGGAGGAGCUGCAAGAUUGUGCGAUCUGCUCAAACCUUUCAGUACUUACCUGGAAGGAGUGCUUCACAGAAGGUGAGGUUAUUGGUAGUUAUUAAAAAUAGAGGUCCAGAUAUAAUCUGGCUGUUCUUCUAUAGCAUCUUCAAAACAUCUGCUGCUGGCUGUGGUUAGUCAGAGGAUACCUUUGGUCUGACAAAAUAAAGCUAGUUUUGUUGCAAUAGGUAGUCAAACAACCUCACAUUCUUUUUAUAGAUGGAAAAAUCUGGCUGUUGCUUAAUUGGAGGUACAAACUUCAGAGCCCUGGAGAGAUGGGAAUGCAGAUUAGCUGGAGGGAGAUUGAAAGGGAGGCUUAUUAAGAUAAAUUGUCAGAGGUCUCAUUUAUUUGCAGCAGUGUGACUUCCAACACUUGUUACUUUUCUGCUUUAGAAGUGAUGAGUUUGCACAGAUUCUCUGGACAUCUGUGGAAGCCACAAGGCAUGUGGAGAUGCUUUAGUAAAACAGCAAUGCCCAUGUUUGCAGAGUGACUAAGUGGCAGAGUUGGGUCUGCCAGUUCAUGGUCCCCAGCCAUGCAUUGAAGCAUGAAGGGAAGACAACAUGUGGGUGAUGGAGCACAAAGCACUUAGCUGGUUCUUACGUGGGACCUUCUCCUUUUGAACAGAUCUUGCCCUUAGAGACAUGCACGUGGUUCCUGUCAAGUCCCUCCACAGGGCUGAAUUUGACUGAAUAUACAGCCAAAUACAUAAUUUGGCUGAAAAUGGCUGAAUUUCCUGUAGGAUAUUUCUGAGGGAGGAACAUGUUCCCCACAGACACUAAUUCUCUCUGGCAAACAGUAGCAUGUGUUUCAUUGGGCUUUCCACAAACCAUUUCAUGGUUUGUUUCAUCACAGAAGCUGUCCUGUGCUAGCACUGUCUGUCCUAGCUGGAUCUGCAGGUGCCACCAUGAAGAGUUAUGCGUGCCACACUCUCUUUAACAUGUUUUUCCCAAACAGGUAGUAUAAGGUCCUAUUUUCUUUGAUAUGGAAUACUCUUGGGGGAAAACUCAGAUCACAACUGCUAUUUCUUAAAAUAUCUUUUAUUCAUUAGCUGCUGUUAAUAGAAUCAAGGUGUUAUUAGUAAAGCAGAUAACUAUUCACACACAACAUCACUCAUUCAUGUUCACUCAUUAGCAGGAGCAGCCAUUAGAAGGCCAAUCCCAAUGUGAAUGCUUGGAAGCAGAAGGUCAUCCUGACUCACCACUGCCUUCUGGGCAGGUCUUUAGAAAUUCCUUCAGAGGGCACUUUGUUUCACCACCUGCAUACAUAACUCUGUAUUCUUAAUCUGUGUAGAGCAGCUGCUGCCCUCCUGGGUGUGAUCCAAGUUAUACAACCUGUUGCAGGUUCUAAUGUGUGCUGGCAGCCUUGCAGAGCAUUAAACACUGGUGGUCUAAGUUUAUAAUUUCUUGCAAAUUCAUGAGGAUUAGUUAUCUCUGAAGCUUAUCAGCCCCUAGGAAACUUUCACAUAAUAUCUUUUAGCAUAUAUAUGUCUUGACUUCAUCCUGUAAUAUUUCCUGGUAACUAUUUCCCCAUCUGAAUCUAUAGAAGCAUACAAACUUGUACAAAGGGGGCUUCUAUGAUACCAGGAGAUAGUAUUUAAUUAGGGUGGUGGUAAAACAUGUAUGUCCUCUGCAGAAAAUGUGAUACUGUGGCCUAAAGUGGGCUCAAAUUCAUUUGGAAUAAGCUGGACGGAGACCAGUAGUUGGGCACACUGAUGCUGUCAUCUUCCCAUGGAUGGAGUUGACAUUUACUUACUCCAACUGGUUUAAGAGCCUGUAUGUGACACAGAAAGACUCUCUGCCACAGCUCCUCUUCAUGUUCUGCAGGCUGCUUGGGGUUCCUCUGGUGAUCCAGCUCUCUCAUACAUGGAGCAGUGACCUCCUCUGACAGCUGUGCCCAGCAUGGUGAAGAACAGAGUUCCCUGCAGACCCUAGGAGGGUUAGGGAGGAGCAGUGUAAUUGUGUAGCACCCAGUAGACACCAAUUUACAUCUCUGCCCUAUAUGGGAACUUACCAGAGCAGGAUGGCCCAAGCUUUCAAACCAGGAGAGAGCUCUGUGGGAUCCCAGCCAUACGGCAUGCAGUGCUGGUUACUCAUGAACAGGUUUGCUUGGGGCUUUCCUAUGCGAGUGGCUAAUGGGACAGUCUGCUCCUUUAGCAGGUCUCAGUCUGGCUCCUCUUUGAGCACCACUGGCUCACACUGGUGCCUUUGCUAGUGCUCCUGGUUGGCUUUCAGAUGAGUCUUGGUCUUCUGCUGUUGAAACAAAAAACCCUAUUCCUGGCUGCACAGCAAGCAUCUCCAAAGUCUGAGCUGUAGAUGGUGUAGAGCUGGCCAGCCUGAAUGUAAAGCCAGCAGUUAGCCUGGAGAAAGAAUUAUUACCAUCUUG